CGCUCUCGUUUUUCUAUAACAAAAUGCUACAAAGUUCUGAAACCUGGUCUCUGCGUGGUGGUGAUCCAUAUAUAUUUUUUUGUUCCCCAGCAUACAUGAAAGCAGAACAGGAGAAGUAGCUAGGAAAGAUCAGCUAGAUGGAGGCACAAAGGAUGCAAACAAAUGAAAGCCAUCAUACAUCUCAGCAACAGAGAUCAAAAUAUCUUUAAGAUGGGAAAAAUAGGGGCCAAAAAGAAAAGGAUCAUGUAAAUAAACUGCGAGAUUAAGUAUAUUCCUCUGUGGUAUGUUUACAAGAACAAAUGACCAACAUUUUUAGAGAUCUUUCUCCCGGAGCAAAUAAUAAGAAGAUACAAAAGAAAAAAGCAAGGACUAACAAAAACUACGCUUUAUUCUCGCCAUUUCUCCUCGUAACUCUGAUGUAGCAAAAGAUGACGGCCAGGAUGGCAGUUACGAAACCUCCAAGUAUCACCUCUCCUCCUAUCGAUCCAUUAAACGAUCCGCUCUUCCUUAUUUGCUGCGGCUCCGGUCCACCGGCAAUUCCUGAUUCUCCAAUGUUCGUGGGAGCACCAGUAGAGGGUGGGGCUGCGAUGGUCGGAAUGGAGGGAAGAGGCCUGGCCAUUGCUAGCGUGGCAAGAAUACAAGCCCAAACCAAAAAUAAUAGAAGGAAGCGAGCCAUAUCGGAGACUUCAGACUCGAGAGAUGGGUAGUAGAGUGGUAGAACUAAUGGAAGCUUUAUAGAAGCCUAGCUGGAUGGCAAGGUGAGCUUAGAGAGAAAAAAAAAAUGUUCUAUAGUCAAUAGUUUUGAUCAAACAAAGCACGGACCAUUGUCUUUCUGGC
rnacentral:lncRNA from 1 species